rfam:Asian citrus Psyllid, Diaphorina citri - Florida Strain, whole genome shotgun sequence.
GCCAGUGGCGAUAGAACGUUAAAUGCAUCAGUUCUCAAUGGAUCACUGAAGUUCAACAGCGUUGCGCGUGGUUAGUAUCCGGAUGGGUGACCAGCUGGGUAAUCACGUAAAUUCCAGAAU